AACGAACACUGGCGGCGUGGAUUAGGCAUGCAAGUCGAGCGGGAUCCUGUUCCUUCAAUUCUUCGGAAAAGAAGGCGCGGGUGAGAGCGGCGAACGGGUGAGUAAUGUAUGGGUAAUUUGCCUUGAAGCCCGGGAUAGCUACUCGAAAGGGUAGGUAAUACCGGAUGUGCUCGGGUGCUGCAUGGCACCUUAUGUGAAGGCGGGGAUCUUCGGACCUGCCACUUCAAGAUAAGCCCAUAUCCUAUCAGCUAGUUGGUAAGGUAACGGCUUACCAAGGCUUACGGGUAGCUGGUCUGAGAGGACGACCAGCCACACUGGGACUGAGAUACUGCCCACGACUCCUACGGGAGGCUGCAGUCGAGAAUAUUUGUCAAUGUACGAAAGUAUGAACAUGCGACGCCGCGUGGAGGACGAAGGCCUCGUGUAA
rnacentral:rRNA from 1 species